rnacentral:tRNA from 1 species
GGGUUGGUAGCAAACGCUGGCUUUGCAGCGGUCUCUUAAACCGCCUCGACGUGGGUUCGAUUCCCACCCGACCCA